GGCGUGCCUAAUACAUGCAAGUCAAGCGAACAGACGAGGAGCUUGCUCCUCUGACGUUAGCGGCGGACGGGUGAGUAACACGUGGAUAACCUACCUAUAAGACUGGGAUAACUUCGGGAAACCGGAGCUAAUACCGGAUAAUAUAUUGAACCGCAUGGUUCAAUAGUGAAAGACGGUUUUGCUGUCACUUAUAGAUGGAUCCGCGCCGCAUUAGCUAGUUGGUAAGGUAACGGCUUACCAAGGCAACGAUGCGUAGCCGACCUGAGAGGGUGAUCGGCCACACUGGAACUGAGACACGGUCCAGACUCCUACGGGAGGCAGCAGUAGGGAAUCUUCCGCAAUGGGCGAAAGCCUGACGGAGCAACGCCGCGUGAGUGAUGAAGGUCUUCGGAUCGUAAAACUCUGUUAUUAGGGAAGAACAAAUGUGUAAGUAACUAUGCAUGUCUUGACGGUACCUAAUCAGAAAGCCACGGCUAACUACGUGCCAGCAGCCGCGGUAAUACGUAGGUGGCAAGCGUUAUCCGGAAUUAUUGGGCGUAAAGCGCGCGUAGGCGGUUUUUUAAGUCUGAUGUGAAAGCCCACGGCUCAACCGUGGAGGGUCAUUGGAAACUGGAAAACUUGAGUGCAGAAGAGGAAAGUGGAAUUCCAUGUGUAGCGGUGAAAUGCGCAGAGAUAUGGAGGAACACCAGUGGCGAAGGCGACUUUCUGGUCUGUAACUGACGCUGAUGUGCGAAAGCGUGGGGAUCAAACAGGAUUAGAUACCCUGGUAGUCCACGCCGUAAACGAUGAGUGCUAAGUGUUA
rnacentral:rRNA from 1 species